rnacentral:rRNA from 1 species
GGGCCCGCACAAGCGGUGGAGCAUGUGGUUUAAUUCGAUGAUACGCGAGGAACCUUACCAGGGCUUAAAUGUAGAACGACCGAUUUGGAAACAAGUCUUCUCUUUGAGCGGUCUACAAGGUGCUGCAUGGUUGUCGUCAGCUCGUGCCGUGAGGUGUCGGGUUAAGUCCCUUAACGAGCGCAACCCCUAUCUCUAGUUGCCAGCGGAUAAUGCCGGGGACUCUAGAGAAACUGCCCGUGCAAACGGUGAGGAAGGUGGGGAUGACGUCAAAUCAUCACGGCCCUUACGUCCUGGGCUACACACGUGCUACAAUGGUCGGUACAGAGGGCAGCUACCACGUGAGUGGAUGCAAAUCUCGAAAGCCGAUCUCAGUUCGGAUCGCAGUCUGCAACUCGACUGCGUG